AUAAAGUGCUAGGUUGGGGAGGCUCCGCGGGCUGGGCUGGCUGCUCCACCGCAUGAAAAGCAGACAUUUAUCUGUUCCCAUGGAGAUGAGUUUUCUACUAGUCAAUCACGCACUGAGGAGGUCAGACAAUAGCCGGUAGGUUCUUUUCUCAUCUUUAGAGACCGUCGAGUCCCCCCUUAAAAAAACAAUUCACGUACAUUUAGAGGAGCCUAAACGAUAGCUCAGAAAUACCUGCCAACGAGCAGCCAUGAUCAUUUCAAGGGAGUGCAGAGAACAAGAAGCCCCAGCCGCCUCCCGGGAGGACAGGGCGUGACCCACCUCCACCCCCCUUUUCCAAUUUCAAAUCAUACGUUGUUCUAUCGCACUCCUGAUUUGCAUGAAUUUGGCUUCCCAACCUGACCUCUGUCUCCCGAAUAAAAUAACUAAUAAGGUCAUAAGUUAAGGGAUGAACACUUCCAAACGACUUGGGGGGUAGGGGAGCCAGCAUGGGCUGUUUCAAAGAGAACCUCGGGCAAGCCACCACACACACACACACACACACACCCAACGCUGCCCCAGAAGAGAAACCCGGAGCUGCUGGAAGUUGCGUUCACAGCGGAUUUCUGUUCCGCUUGGGAAGAUGGAAAGGAGUGAAAGAGGAGGGAACAGCUUGUAGCAAGCAAGCUCAUUGAAAAAUGUAAUUCAGGAAGAGAUGCAACAGGGCCAAAACGAAAGAGGAACUGGGCCUGCCCCUGUUCAGAGCAGAAACACCAGAGUCACCAUCCUCAAGUUAAAAAUGAUGCAGGGAGAGUUGUGGUUGGGGGUGGCUGGAAAAUGCAUCACCCGCUGGACUUGUCACUGCAAUUCACUAUCUUGUUUGCUGUUUAUCUUGAGGCUUGGGGAGCUCCCCCGCUGGUUAGGGAAAAAGAGGGCGGUGUAGGGAGAAAUGUAGUGAUCAGAAAAGGAGGCUCAGACGCCCCAGAGAGAGUGGGAGGUGUAAAUAACAUGGGGGUGUUUGACAGUGAUGUCAGAGCAAAAAGAGACAGAGCUUGCCAAAAAUCCUAAAAAUUUCAGUGUGUGUGUUGGGGUGGGGAACCAGACACAAGGAAAAUGUCCCAAAAGAAAAAG